CUCUUGUCUGUUAUAAUACCAGUGAAUGUAUCUUAACUUCCCUGGCUUCGCUUUCAGACUACAUUGAAGUCCCUACUAUUAUCCUAGUUUGCUUAGUUAUGUACCUGACAUGUAGACUGGCAAAGUAGUGAGACAUUU